UUCAUAAUUUCGUCAGAAAUUUUCAACCGAUUUUCUUGGGUUCACCAUCCACUAAUAAAUUGCCAACUCAUAUCUAAUUUUUCAAAUAAAAAGAAGCUAAAAUAUAAUUAGAAAUAUAAUUAUUAACUUAAAAAAAGGAAAACGAAAAAAAAAAAGGAAACAAAAAAAAAAACAGAACACGACGGCGGCUUGUAACCCUCGUUAGUUAGAAGCCACGGAGAGUCACGGAGAAGAAAAAGAAAGAGGAGCAAAAGAGUAUCAGAGAAGAAGGUUACGUUUCUGUGGAAGCAUUGCUUUUGAAGUUUUGCUUGUCAUUGUCGUUACAGCUGUUAGUGACUAUCGCCAAUCUCUUCAGUUUCAACUAUAGGUCAUGAGAGGAGGGAGAACAGUGAAGAUUUCAAUCUAUAAUGUUGUUGUCGGAGAUGUUAUACUCUUAGAAUAGGUGACCAGGUCCCUGUGGAUGGAGUGCUAAUUAGUGGCCAUUCUCUUGCCAUUGAUGAAUCUAGCAUGAUCGGUGAAAUUAAGAUUGUCCACAAGGAUCAAAAAUCUCCUUUUCUAAUGUCUGGUUGUAAAGUAGCUGACGGAGUCCGUAAUGUGAUGGUAUGUCUUUGGUCCUAUUGAUGUUAGAGUCACAUAGAAGAAGAAGAGGAGCAAACAAGAGUAGCACAGAAGAAGCUACAAAGAAUGAAAAAGAAGAAUGAAGCUUAAAGCGCAAUAAACGAAGGAACAAGAAGUAACCAAAGAGAGUCACGUAGAAGAAGAAAGUCAACGUGAGAGCACAUUGGUUACAAACCAAAGAGAAGUUGAGGACAUCUAUUUUGUUGUUGUUUAAGUGUAGUAGUUAGUGAGAAACUACUCUAAGUAUGUGUGGUGUUGUAAGAAAGAUAAAUCCAAUUCUAAUAAGAAUAAGAGUAAGUACAAAUGUAGACAUACAAAGUUAUCUCU